rnacentral:rRNA from 1 species
UGGGGGAUAUUGCACAAUGGGCGAAAGCCUGAUGCAGCGACGCCGCGUGGGGGAUGAAGGCUUUCGGGUUGUAAACCUCUUUCGCUAUCGAACAAGGCCCGCUUAGGGUGGGUUGAGGGUAGGUGGAGAAGAAGCGCCGGCUAACUACGUGCCAGCAGCCGCGGUAAUACGUAGGGCGCGAGCGUUGUCCGGAAUUAUUGGGCGUAAAGGGCUUGUAGGCGGCUUGUUGCGCCUGCUGUGAAAACGCGGGGCUUAACUUCGCGCGUGCAGUGGGUACGGGCAGGCUUGAGUGUGGUAGGGGUGACUGGAAUUCCAGGUGUAGCGGUAGAAUGCGCAGAUAUCUGGAGGGACACCGAUGGCGAAGGCAGGUCACUGGGCCAUUACUGACGCUGAGGAGCGAAAGCAUGGGUAGCGAACAGG